GGAGACGCCUGCCUCCUCCCGUGGUCACUGAUCAUACCCGGCGCACCCCAGGGGGGCACCAACCUGCAGGAACCCCCUGGAGCCACACUGCGCAGACGGGCCCCAGGGACACACACCGCAUGCCGCUUUCGGCUCAGUCUCGAGAUGACAAAAUCACAGGAUCCAGGGACAGAUUAGGGGUAGUCGGAGGUGAAGGAGGUGGGAGGGGAUAAAAAGGUUCUUACGGAGACAAAAUAUGCUGGAUCUCGACGGCCACCAACAUCCUGGGAGUGAAGCUGCACCACAGCAUUGCAAGACGCUCGCCCUGGGAAGCGAGAAAGGACCCAGAGGCACCCUGCGCUGUUUCAGUUCUGUGCGAGUCCACAGUGUCUCAAAAUGAAAGGUUUAACAACCACAAUCAACAACAUUUUCUAACGUGCGUGCGUGUAAAUGGGAAACUCAGAAGUCCAGAAUGUAUUUCUCAAGGACAAGGGCGGAGGUGGUCCACAGCCCAAGUUCAAAGACUAAUCUUAUCUCGCUGCAGUCCUUUAUCUGUAGGUGGGCAGACUGAGGACACGCCUGGCUCACCAGGAACACAGCACUGGGGACACCCCAUGGCGGCCAUGCCCUGGGAACAGCAGCCCCUGCCCACAGGCCCCAGCACACACCUGAGCCCACAGGGCUCACGUCCCCACCUGCCAGUGGGGCCUGCACCAGGUGGCGCUGCAAAGGCAGGGCAGGGGUCUUCCUAUACACAAUGGUGCUUGAGAAAUCGUGACGCCACGUCUCCUGCCCACGGGGACCACAGACCUGCCCGCCAGCAGCCCUGUGCUUCGUGGGUAGUCUGGCCUGGGACACCCUCCCCCCCGCAGCAGGUGCACUCUGGGGUCACAAGAAACACUGGGAAGACAAGCUGGCCCCCUGCCCCCCGCGGACCCACAGAUCCCACUGUCCCACGACAGACCCGGUGGGGUCACACACACAGAAACCUGUCGUCCCGCCUGCUGCCCCACCACCCUAUCUGCGCUACGGAGCCUUGCUCGACCUCCAAGCCAAGCCCAACCCUCAUCCUCGGGCCGUAAGUCCUUCCUUUCUUGUCUAAGUUCAGGCAGCCUUUCAAGACCAGAUCCCAUGGAGCUCAGGUCCGGGUGGGUGCAGGAAACUAACACCGCAACAAGGGCAGGCCUGGGGCCGCAGAGAGGAGAGCGGCUGGCGGUAAGUGCUCCGCAGAAACCGCGGCCAGGCAAAGCCAGCCUCCUUGGGGAAGCCUGGGGGAUGCGAGGAAGACGGGACGGAAUGGGGAGACAGACAGCGGGAUGAACUGGGAGACGCACGAGCCACGGGUACCAGCAGGGAUCCAGGAGAACCUUGGCUUUUGCUCCAAGUGAAGGGGGGCGGAGCUUUGAGAGAAAGGCCGACACCUGACAUCGAUGUAAAAAUCUGGUGGUGAGGCGUGGAAGCUGGACUUCUGGUGACCAAUGUAAGGGGCUAUGUACAGAUGUGGACUUCCAAGGAUGUGCCACCUGGAACCUACACAAGGUUUACUUCAAUUUGCAGAAGCAUCAUUCCAGCUGCAUUACUGAAAACUGAGAUCGACGAGGCCAUGAUUUUUAGAUGACAUCAAAAGCUCAAGCAACAAAAGCAAAAACCAACAGCUGGGAUGACACUGAACUAUAAAGCUCCUUGCUGCAUAGCAAGAGGGAAUGGGAACCCACAGAAUGGGAGAAACGGGGCAAAUCAUGCAUCUGGCAAGGGCUUAAAAUUCAAAUCAUGUAAGGACCUCCUCCAGCUCAACGAGAAAGCAGUCCCAGCACGAAACGGGCGGAGAAGCAGACACACAGGUGCCAACAGGUGCGACUUCCUAACACUGCGACUGACCUCACCUGAAAUCCUCCGCAUUUCCCAUCAGUGGGUCACUGCCUGGUGCUGCACGUCGAGCUCCAUCUCCCUGGCCAGCAGAGGCUCCAGGCUAUGAGACGUGACCCCGCCUCCGUCCACCCUCAGGUACCCAGUAGGGAACCUGCCACCUGAUGUGAUGGUUGCUGAAAGAAGGGACAGUGAGUUUUUCUGAAACAUGCAUCUU